UACGUAGGCAGCGAGCGUUGUUCGGAAUCACUGGGCGUAAAGCGCACGUAGGCGGACGUGUCAGUCAGGGGUGAAAUCCCGGAGCUCAACUUCGGAACUGCCUUUGAUACAGCACGUCUUGAGUCCGGAAGAGGUGGGUGGAAUUCCUAGUGUAGAGGUGAAAUUCGUAGAUAUUAGGAAGAACACCGGUGGCGAAGGCGGCCCACUGGUCCGGUACUGACGCUGAGGUGCGAAAGCGUGGGGAGCAAACAGG
rnacentral:rRNA from 1 species